GCCCAGUGAAUAAUUAAACGGCCGCGGUACCCUAACCGUGCAAAGGUAGCAUAAUCAUUUGUCUAUUAAUUGUAGUCCUGUAUGAAAGGCACAAUGAGGGUUUAACUGUCUCUUUUAGUAAAUCAAUUAAACUGAUCUCCCAGUCCAAAAGCUGGGAUGCCAACAUAAGACCAGAAGACCCUGUGAAGCUUUAACUGACCUAUUAAAUCCUAUAAUAGCUCCUUUCGGUUGGGGCGACCUUGGAAAUAUAAAGAACUUCCAAACACACAGUAUAUACAUACUUACACCGGCUGACGAGCCUAUAACGACCCAGUACAACUGAUCAUUGAACCAAGUUACUCCAGGGAUAACAGCGCUAUCUUCUUCAAGAGCCCAUAUCAAAAAGAAGGUUUACGACCUCGAUGUUGGAUCAGGACAUCCUAAUGGUGCAACCG
rnacentral:rRNA from 1 species